AGCGAACGCUGGCGGCAGGCCUAACACAUGCAAGUCGAACGGACCCUUCGGGGUUAGUGGCGGACGGGUGAGUAACACGUGGGAACGUGCCUUUAGGUUCGGAAUAGCUCCUGGAAACGGGUGGUAAUGCCGAAUGUGCCCUUCGGGGGAAAGAUUUAUCGCCUUUAGAGCGGCCCGCGUCUGAUUAGCUAGUUGGGGAGGUAACGGCUCACCAAGGCGACGAUCAGUAGCUGGUCUGAGAGGAUGACCAGCCACACGGGGACGGGGCCACGGCCCAGACUCCUAGGGGAGGCGGCAGUGGGGAAUCUUGCGCAAUGGGCGAAAGCCUGAGGCGGCCAGGCGGCGUGAAUGAGGAAGGUCUUAGAAUGGUAAAAUUCUUUCCCCGGGGACGAUAAUACCGGAACCGGGAGAGGAGGCCCCGGCUAACUCGUG
rnacentral:rRNA from 1 species